UUUCUCUCUCCUCUUCCCCAAACCUCACGCCUCUCACCACUCUCUCUUCUCUCUCUCUUUUCUCUUUCUUCCACCAUUGUUAGACAAUUUCCAAGCUUUUAUGAUCAAAUCUACACCAUAGAUUACCACUAAAAUCAUGUUUAAACCUCAUUUUCUUUGAAUCAAGAAGAGAUUGGAAGAGUUUCCCAAGAUUGAGUUCAAAGGAGAUUUUUAAUUUUCAAUCAAACUCUUGAGUCAUUUGAAGUGGGACGGAGGAGGAGUAUUUUAAAGAUGAGAAAUCAAACUAUAUAGCAUCAUCACUAUCCAAAAUUCAAGUAUUGUAUUCAGUCAUCUUUGUAUCCGAAUUAUCUGAGGGUAACUCAAUUACCUAAUUUGUCAUUCAUCAAAAUAAAGAAAAAAUAAAAGAAAGGAAAUUUCUUAUUA